rnacentral:rRNA from 2 species
UGGGCAGCUAUAAUGCAAGUCGAGCGAACAGAUGAGAAGCUUGCUUCUCUGAUGUUAGCGGCGGACGGGUGAGUAACACGUGGGUAACCUACCUAUAAGACUGGGAUAACUCCGGGAAACCGGGGCUAAUACCGGAUAAUAUAUUGAACCGCAUGGUUCAAUGUUGAAAGACGGUUUCGGCUGUCACUUAUAGAUGGACCCGCGCCGUAUUAGCUAGUUGGUAAGGUAACGGCUUACCAAGGCAACGAUACGUAGCCGACCUGAGAGGGUGAUCGGCCACACUGGAACUGAGACACGGUCCAGACUCCUACGGGAGGCAGCAGUAGGGAAUCUUCCGCAAUGGGCGAAAGCCUGACGGAGCAACGCCGCGUGAGUGAUGAAGGUCUUAGGAUCGUAAAACUCUGUUGUUAGGGAAGAACAAAUUUGUUAGUAACUGAACAAGUCUUGACGGUACCUAACCAGAAAGCCACGGCUAACUACGUGCCAGCAGCCGCGGUAAUACGUAGGUGGCAAGCGUUAUCCGGAAUUAUUGGGCGUAAAGCGCGCGUAGGCGGUUUCUUAAGUCUGAUGUGAAAGCCCACGGCUCAACCGUGGAGGGUCAUUGGAAACUGGGGAACUUGAGUGCAGAAGAGGAGAGUGGAAUUCCAUGUGUAGCGGUGAAAUGCGCAGAGAUAUGGAGGAACACCAGUGGCGAAGGCGGCUCUCUGGUCUGUAACUGACGCUGAUGUGCGAAAGCGUGGGGAUCAAACAGGAUUAGAUACCCUGGUAGUCCACGCCGUAAACGAUGAGUGCUAAGUGUUAGGGGGUUUCCGCCCCUUAGUGCUGCAGCUAACGCAUUAAGCACU